UGGGGCAAGUAUGUAAGAAGGCCAGGACUAUAGCCCACCAGGCUCCUCUGUCCCAGCAAUUUUCCAGACAGGUACACAUUGCUGUUUAAAAUGGAUAACCAACAAGGACUUACAGUAGAGCGCAUGGAACUCUGCUCAGUGUUAUGUGGCAGCCUGGACGGGAGUGGAGUUGGGGGAGAAUGGAUACAUGUAUAUGUAUGGUUGAGUCCCUUCGCUGUUCACCCGAAACUAUCACAACAUUGUUAAAUUAAUAUACCCCAAUACAAAAAGUUUUUUUUUAAGUCCUGAUUCUGUACCUUUAAAACUUAUUAAAUUAUGGGUGUCUGGGGACUUUCUAAUCUCAUUAAUAUGCCUAUUUCUGCCUAGGGUCACUCUAUAUAAGAAUUAUAUCUAUAAAAUGUAAAAAUACAUUUUAAUUUCUAAAAAUUCACGUCUUCCUUCAUAAGAUUCAUUUUCAAAAUUUCUUGGACUUCCCUGGUGAUCCAGCGGUUAAUAAUCCACCUGCCAAGGCAGGGAACAUGGGUUUAAUCGCUGGUCCAGGAAGAUUUCACAUGAAUGUUGGGAACUAAGCCCCUGUACCACAACUACUGAGCCAGUACCCCUAGGGCCUUUGAGCCACAACAAGGGGACCUACCACAAUGACAAGCCCGUACACUGCAACUGGAGAGUAGCCCCCACUCCCCACAACUAAAGGAAGCCUAGGCAAAACAGCAAAGACCAGAGCAGCCAAAAAAUAAAUGAAUAUUGAAAACAAUUUUUCUUAAAUAUGCUCACUUUAUUUUUCCUGAAUAACUUUAGGAUUAUCACGUCAAGUUCCAAAAGUAUCCAACUGAGACUCUUAAUUUAAAAGACAAAAAAAACAAAAAAAACCCCUAUCUGCUUGCUAUCUGUAUCAUAUGUAACAUUUAAAGAAAGAGAAAAUCGCCAUUUUUC
ensembl:lncRNA